rnacentral:rRNA from 1 species
CCUACGGGGGGCUGCAGUGAGGAAUAUUGGUCAAUGGCCGUAAGGCUGAACCAGCCAAGUCGCGUGAAGGAAGAAGGAUCUAUGGUUUGUAAACUUCUUUUAUAGGGGAAUAAAGGUAUCCACGUGUGGAUAUUUGCAUGUACCCUAUGAAUAAGCAUCGGCUAACUCCGUGCCAGCAGCCGCGGUAAUACGGAGGAUGCGAGCGUUAUCCGGAUUUAUUGGGUUUAAAGGGUGCGUAGGUUGUUUUUUAAGUCAGCGGUGAAAGUUUGUGGCUCAACCACAAAAUUGCCGUUGAAACUGGAAGACUUGAGUGUGUUUGAGGUAGGCGGAAUGCGUGGUGUAGCGGUGAAAUGCAUAGAUAUCACGAAGAACCCCGAUUGCGAAGGCAGCUUACUAAACUGUGACUGACAUUGAUGCUCGAAAGUGUGGGUAUCAAACAGGAUUAGAUACCCCAGUAGUC